rnacentral:tRNA from 1 species
GGAGGGGUCGCAUAGUGGUCGAGUGCGGUGGUCUUGAAAACCACUAGGCCCGCAAGGGUCUCAAGAGUUCGAAUCUCUUCCCCUCCGCCA